GCCAGGCACGGUGGCGCACGCCUGUAAUCCCAGUGGCUCAGGAGGCUGAGGCAGGAGGAUCUCGAGUUCAAAGCCAGCCUCAGCAAAAGCAAGGCCCUAAGUGACUCAGUGAGACCCUGUCUCUA
rnacentral:sRNA from 1 species